rnacentral:rRNA from 1 species
UGCUACCAUGCAAGUCGAGCGGAGAUUCUCGGCGUACUUGUACAAAGAGGAUCUUAGCGGCGGACGGGUGAGUAACACGUGAGCAAUCUGCCUUUUACUGGGGAAUAACACUGGGAAACCAGUGCUAAUACCGCAUGAUGUCUCUGAGUGGCAUCACUUGGAGACCAAAGGAGAAAUCCGGUAAAAGAUGAGCUCGCGUCCGAUUAGGUAGUUGGAGAGGUAAUGGCUCACCAAGCCUACGAUCGGUAGCCGGACUGAGAGGUUGAACGGCCACAUUGGGACUGAGACACGGCCCAGACUCCUACGGGAGGCAGCAGUGGGGAAUAUUGGGCAAUGGGGGAAACCCUGACCCAGCAACGCCGCGUGAAGGAUGAAGGCUUUCGGGUUGUAAACUUCUUUGAUCAGGGACGAAAAAAAUGACGGUACCUGAAGAACAAGCCACGGCUAACUACGUGCCAGCAGCCGCGGUAAUACGUAGGUGGCGAGCGUUAUCCGGAUUUACUGGGUGUAAAGGGCGUGUAGGCGGGUCUGCAAGUCGGAUGUGAAAUUCCCAGGCUUAACUUGGGCGGGUCAUCCGAAACUGCGGAUCUUGAGUACUGGAGAGGAUAGUGGAAUUCCUAGUGUAGCGGUAAAAUGCGUAGAUAUUAGGAGGAACACCAGUGGCGAAGGCGGCUAUCUGGACAGUAACUGACGCUGAGGCGCGA